rnacentral:rRNA from 1 species
GACGAACGCUGGCGGCGUGCCUAAUACAUGCAAGUAGAACGCUGAAGGAGGAGCUUGCUUCUCUGGAUGAGUUGCGAACGGGUGAGUAACGCGUAGGUAACCUGCCUGGUAGCGGGGGAUAACUAUUGGAAACGAUAGCUAAUACCGCAUAAUAGCAGUUGUUGCAUGACAACUGUUUGAAAGGUGCAAUUGCACCACUACCAGAUGGACCUGCGUUGUAUUAGCUAGUUGGUGGGGUAACGGCUCACCAAGGCGACGAUACAUAGCCGACCUGAGAGGGUGAUCGGCCACACUGGGACUGAGACACGGCCCAGACUCCUACGGGAGGCAGCAGUAGGGAAUCUUCGGCAAUGGACGGAAGUCUGACCGAGCAACGCCGCGUGAGUGAAGAAGGUUUUCGGAUCGUAAAGCUCUGUUGUAAGAGAAGAACGAGUGUGAGAGUGGAAAGUUCACACUGUGACGGUAGCUUACCAGAAAGGGACGGCUAACUACGCG